rnacentral:lncRNA from 1 species
AAAUCAUCUAAACCAUAAUUCCAGGAUUUUUCUCAAUUUACAUCAUUCUCCUUGACCACAGAUAAAAUCUGUCAUCAAUUUGGGCUGUGUUCUUCCAUGAAUAAGUAGAUAGAAGGGAAAUUGCCCAUUUAUAGAAUGCAUCAAGGAUGAAGCCAAAGUGGAAGACUGGAGAGAAUCCUUAUUGUGCAGUAGAGAACAUGACUUUGCAUGGAAGUAACAUUUUAUGGCAUAAUAACCCAGUGCAGCUGCCAGACAGCACUGAGGAGGAGCUUGGGAAAGGAAGGUACUCCAGGUUCUAAAGAGCAUGAACAUGACAGAUUAUUAUAAGAUGUGCCCUAAGAUGACAUAGGAAAGAAAGCAGAUGCUCAAGAUGUGAAAGGCAUUAGUAAGGCCAGGAUCAGGCACUGGCCUUUGCCAGUAUUUCCGAGGAAAAAAUCAAAGCACAAAGCAAAGCUGUGUGAAGAGUUUAGGAUUGGCUCUUUUAUGGUACAUUUGUGCCUCUAUGUCUCUCUGUGUCUCUGUCUCUCUGUCUCUCUGUCUCUCUCUCUCCCAUCUUCUCUGUGUGUGGUCUAGAAGCUAUGGUGAUUCCCAAUUACCCACCAUCUUUCUCUGAGAUGACUAAGGGAGAAGGUUAUUGCUUCUUGAGGCUGAAGGGCUAGAUGGUAGAAGCUCUGUAUUUGUUAGUAUGAAUGAGAAAUCAUGCAUACCCCCAAUGGGACCCAUUAAUGAUGUCAAAAAUAUAAAAACUGUACAAAAAUCUAAUAUUGAUAAUCCAGAGACUUUAUGUUAGCUGAUGGAGGUGCCUAGCAACCAUGCAGUUGGGAGGAGAGGAGAAGGAUGAGCUAUGUGUGUUGUAAGGGUGGUUACAUCCAAGGUCAGUUAUUCUCUGGUGCAUGGUUCCAAUUUUAAUGGAAGGCUUUCCAAAUUACAUCCUCUGAGAGAGCAAGUGUUUAUGUUACACCAUCUGUCAUAUCUCAGGAAAUAAAAAUAGGAAAAGCUACCCACUUGGUCUUAUUCUUGGAACCUUUGCCCAGCACUGUUAAUAAGAGAGGAUUUGUUUUGUAAGAAAAUUACCAAAGAAAAACUAUAGAUACAUCCUGCUUAAGUAAAUAGUCAUUAUUUCCUAAGAAAUGUACAUGUUCAAAACAAAAUUCCAGGCUGGAAAAUAUUGAUUUAUGCCCCAGACAAAGGAAACCAAUGACUAGCAUUCUGAAGUGGCCUAUUAAGUUUUUAGCACCUUCUCAAUACCUCUUCAGUGGAGAAAAAAACAAGCAUAGGUAUCAAUAUAUGUUAUAUGAAGUCUUAGUGCUUGAUAAACAUGCUACAAUGUAAUUUAUGUGAUAUUAACUAUCAUGCCAAUCACAAAAAGAGGGGAUUAAAAGUAUGGAAGAGACCAAUGUGGCAGUGGGCUAAGUAAAAGGGUAUUUCUGUCUGAUAUCAAUCACCUAAUUUAUUCAUAAGCUUAGUUAAUUAAGCCAUGUAUAUUCAUAUUUUAUAUUUGCACUUCUGUCCUUAUUCAAAUUCUAUUUUCAGAGCCCAGAAGCUGUUAAGAAUUUAUUUUCUUUCAACAUUUGCCAGGCUCUCAUUAUUUUCUGAGACAGCCCUGUUGGCAUAAUUCAGUUGAAAUAUUAAUACAUAAAAACGUCCCACAUGCUUAUCCCAUGAGCAUAGCAAUGUUUUCCCAUUUGCAGGCUUGAGUACUGGCUAGUGUGUGUUGUGCUUCUAUUUAAACCAAAAUGGAGCUAAUUAUGAACAACUAAUGAAUGAGCUGCUACUAUAUGUAAAGCUAUUGGCAACUCCAGAGACACCUAUUCCUGUAAAUAAUAUUCUGGGAGCUGCUGUAUAUAGAGGACUAUUAAUUAUACCAUACAUUCCAACUAUGACUGUCUUGACAUUAGAAAUGCCCUCUACAUUGUGGCACACUACAUUCAAUCCUUGUUUUGCAUUACCACAAGUGAACGUGUUAUCAAAAAAAGAUCAGUACUUGUAAAUGUAGGUGGCUAAAUGCACGUCUUCAACCAAUGGCGUGUGAGAGGCGUAAUGAAUGCAUGGACACCAUAUAAACAAGAGUUCCUUACCUUCUGCUUCGUGCUCUGAAAAAAAAAAAUCCCCAACCGAGGAAGGCCUAGCAUUAAUCUGACCCUUGGGGCAGGACACACGGGCUUACUUCCCAUCUACAUUAAUGUAUGUCUAGUUCGUGCAAGGCUAUGGUUUCAAUCCCCAGCACUGAAAAAAAUGGAAUUAACCAUUUUAUCACCACUUAACUGUUAAUACAAAAAUAUUAACCUCUUUAAUCAGAUCUUACAACUUCUCUAUCUUACUUUAGUAAGUGCUAUUAUUUGAGAAUUUGGUCUGAGGCCUUUGGAAAAACAUCAUUUCUGGAAGAACUCUUUCGUUUGAUUUACUUUUUCUCUUUAACAAGCACUGAUCUUUGGACUUUUUGCUUUGUGAUAAUUAUCAAGAGUUUCAAGUUUUCUGGAUAUGAAUAGUCAGUUCUGGGAAUGCAGAAUAGACUUUUACAAGUUAAACUAUAAAAGUAAACGGUAGAGAAAUCUUGUAAAACCUUUCGAAGACCCAGUUAGAUUUCCAAAUAAAGAUUGUACUGCCAUGUUUUUUGUUUUUUGUUUGUUUGUUUGUGUUUUGUUUUGUUGUUUUUUUAACUAGGUAAACAUGGUGUUAUAUAGAAAGCUUUUCCUACAAAGUUGGCUAUGGCUGCGCAUAAAACAGGAUGCCAGCAGACUAGGAAGUAGGUUGGCUCACAAAAACAGGCUUAAUAUCUGUCCCACCAACACCAUUGUGUUCUAGCAUACACCGGUCUUGGCUUAUAGGAGUCAGUGAGCUUUUAAAAGAGAACACUGGGUCCUGACAGGCUGUUCCAAGGAAUUCAUGCCUGUUUGAAUAACUCUUAGGAGUAUAGGUUUCUGAUAUUUUUUACAGCCUGAAGG